rnacentral:rRNA from 1 species
CACGAACGCUGGCGGCAGGCUUAACACAUGCAAGUCGAACGGUUGUAGCAAUACAGCAGUGGCAGACGGGUGAGUAACACGUGGGAACCUUCCUAGGGGUACGGAACAACUCAGGGAAACUUGAGCUAAUACCGUAUACGUCCGUGAGGAGAAAGAUUUAUCGCCCUUAGACGGGCCCGCGUCGGAUUAGCUAGUUGGUGGGGUAAUGGCCUACCAAGGCGACGAUCCGUAGCUGAUCUUAGAGGAUGAUCAGCCACACUGGGACUGAGACACGGCCCAGACUCCUACGGGAGGCAGCAGCGGGGAAUCUUGGACAAUGGGCGCAAGCCUGAUCCAGCCAUGCCGCGUGAGUGAAGAAGGUCUUCGGAUUGUAAAGCUCUUUUGCCAGUGACGAUAAUGACGGUACCUGGAGAAUAAGCCCCGGCAAACUUCGUGCCAGCAGCCGCCGUAACAC